rnacentral:rRNA from 1 species
UGGGGAAUUUUGGACGAAUUGGGCGAAAGCCUGAUCCAGCAAUGCCGCGUGUGUGAAGAAGGCCUUCGGGUUGUAAAGCACUUUUGUCCGGAAAGAAAUCCUUGGCUCUAAUACAGUCGGGGGAGUGACGGUACCGGAAGAAUAAGCACCGGCUAACUACGUGCCAGCAGCCGCGGUAAUACGUAGGGUGCAAGCGUUAAUCGGAAUUACUGGGCGUAAAGCGUGCGCAGGCGGUUUGCUAAGACCGAUGUGAAAUCCCCGGGCUCAACCUGGGAACUGCAUUGGUGACUGGCAGGCUAGAGUAUGGCAGAGGGGGGUGAGAAUUCCACGUGUAGCAGUGAAAUGCGUAGAGAUGUGGAGGAAUACCGAUGGCGAAGGCAGCCCCCUGGCAAGUACUGACGCUCAUGCACGAAAGCGUGGGGAGCAAAC